rnacentral:sRNA from 1 species
GAUUCUCCCGAGGUUCGAACUUCUUGGGUGGAAAAGUGACUGAUGGUUUUGCUUGCUUAUUUCUCUUCGCAAAACUUUCUUUUUCAUCUUCGACUUCCAUCCAAUUGUUUGCUCGGAAUAACGCAUCUUGAAUAGUAUCAGGUUUGUGUAGUAUCAAAUCUUCUUUGAAUCUCGAAUCAUGCCAUAAUCCUUUUCGCAAAGCUGAUAAAGUUGACUGUUGUGAGAUCCUUGGGAGCUUUGAGAGUACGUUCUUGAAUUUGGUGAUGAAAGUCCGAAGUGUUUCGUUCGGCCCUUGAGAUAAAUUUCAAAGGUUGGUAUCCGAAAUGCUUUUAUCCAUAAGAAUUGAGUAUUGUUUCAAAAAUACUGCUAAAAGCUCGUUGAAGUUGCUGAUCGACCCUGGUUCCAAUUGAGUGAACCACAUUAGGGCUUGUCCACACAGAUUCUCAAAGAAAAGCUUGUAGUAUCCUGCAUCUUCAUCGGCUUCGUUCAGAUCAACUCACCCAGCAACAAUUAGGAAAGUUGCGAGAUAGCCUUGCGGAUCUUCCAAACCGUUGUACGGUUCUAAGUUAAGUUUUCGAGAAUCUCUGAUUCUCAAGCUAGCAAUUUGCAGGGUGAAAGGUGUUCGCCUAGCUUUUUCAAUGACCCGGUUGAUAUCCGAUUCCGAGCUUUUAGCUUGGUGGAAUUUUGACCUCAUUUCUUUCAGUUCCCGGCUUACUUCUCUCAUGGUUUUGAACUGGUUGAAGUUCUCUUGCUCGUGUUGAUUAACGAACUGGUUGUAGUCUUCGGGAUGCGUUUCUCCAUCUUCCGGUUGGAUGUCCGCGUUUGUACCAUCCGGGGUCGUUUGAUCACUUGCUGCAUUUCGCGGAAGGGAAUUUGGGGAACCGAAGAUAGUUCUUCGAACUCCAGAGGAAUUGCCUGGAUUCAAAGAAUGAACGCGAGAUUGAAUAGUAAUAACAUUUUGACUGAGUGAUAUCUGGGUUGUUUGCAGUAUUUUGACGGUUCUUUCCACAUUCGAAAACUUCUGCGCCAUUUCCGCCAUAGUUUGCUGCAUGGUCUUGAGAGUUUCGGCUAGUGAAGCGUUGGUAGCAUCUUCUCCAUACAUUGUCGCUCACUUCGGAAAUGUCGUGUAUAGAAAAAAUCUGAUGACUCAAGAAUUCUUUGUCCCCACAGACGGCGCCAAAAUGUGGAUGUCGGAUUCACACACUCAAGUAUUUAUUUAUUUAGUGAGAAGGAUUAUUCUUGAGGACAAAUGUACUAGAAAAUAGAUUGAUGCUUAUAGAGAAAACUAUGAGUUUUGUAAGAAAAUGUGUAUAGUAAGUUUGCACAAAAAUGUGUGUGUCUCUACAUGGCCUUUGACCCACAAUUUAUACUCAAAGAAUACAUUUAAUUCCCAUUUACACACAAUUAUUCUAUAUUAACUAUUCGAAUGUUCAAAUUUGAAUUGAUUCCGAACUUUCUGGGCUUCGUCCUCUGGCCCACCCGACUCUCCAAUCCGGGCAGUUCUGACAUCGAUGUCCAGUCCACCUCGCUGAUCAAUCACCUCACGUAUACUUUU